CCUACGGGCGGCAGCAGUGGGGAAUAUUGCACAAUGGGGGAAACCCUGAUGCAGCGACGCCGCGUGAGUGAAGAAGUAUUUCGGUAUGUAAAGCUCUAUCAGCAGGGAAGAAAAUGACGGUACCUGACUAAGAAGCCCCUGCUAACUACGUGCCAGCAGCCGCGGGAAUACGUAGGGGGCAAGCGUUAUCAGGAUUUACUGGGUGAAAAGGGAGCGUAGACGGCAGCGCAAGUCUGAGGUGAAAUCCCAUGGCUUAACCAUGGAACUGCUUUGGAAACUGUGCAGCUGGAGUGCGGGAGAGGUUAGUGGAAUUCCUGGUGUAGCGGUGAAAUGCGUAGAUAUCAGGAGGAACACCAGUGGCGAAGGCGGCUUACUGGACUGUAACUGACGUUGAGGAGCGAAAGCGUGGGGAGCAAACAGGAUUAGAUACCCCAGUAGUC
rnacentral:rRNA from 1 species